UACACCUCAUCAAUCGGAAGGAAUCCCUUCCGGUCCUCCUCGAUCAGAAGGGAUUCCUUCCGAUCGAUGAGGUGUA
rnacentral:miRNA from 1 species